GACGUAGGGGGCGAGCGUUAUUCGGAAUUAUUGGGCGUAAAGGGCGCGUAGGCGGCCUGACAAGUGGAUGGUGAAAUCCCUCGGCUUAACCGAGGAACUGCCAUCCAGACUGUUUGGCUUGAGACCGGGAGAGGUGAGUGGAAUUCCCAGUGUAGCGGUGAAAUGCGUAGAUAUUGGGAGGAACACCAGUGGCGAAGGCGGCUCACUGGACCGGUACUGACGCUGAUGCGCGAAAGCGUGGGGAGCAAACGGG
rnacentral:rRNA from 1 species